rnacentral:rRNA from 1 species
AUUGAACGCUGGCGGCAGGCCUAACACAUGCAAGUCGAGCGGCUGACGGGAGCUUUCCCCUGGAUUCAUCGGCGGACGGGUGAGUAAUGCCUAGGAAUCUGCCUGGUAGUGGGGGAUAACGUCCGGAAACGGGCGCUAAUACCGCAUACGUCCUGAGGGAGAAAGUGGGGGAUCUUCGGACCUCACGCUAUCAGAUGAGCCUAGGUCGGAUUAGCUAGUUGGUGGGGUAAAGGCCUACCAAGGCGACGAUCCGUAACUGGUCUGAGAGGAUGAUCAGUCACACUGGAACUGAGACACGGUCCAGACUCCUACGGGAGGCAGCAGUGGGGAAUAUUGGACAAUGGGCGAAAGCCUGAUCCAGCCAUGCCGCGUGUGUGAAGAAGGUCUUCGGAUUGUAAAGCACUUUAAGUUGGGAGGAAGGGCAGUAAGUUAAUACCUUGCUGUUUUGACGGUACCAACAGAAUAAGCACCGGCUAACUUCGUG